rnacentral:rRNA from 1 species
GCCAGAGGGUGCAAACGUUGUUCGGAAUUACUGGGCGUAAAGCGUGUGUAGGCGGCCACGUAAGUCGGAUGUGAAAGCCCCAGGCUCAACCUGGGAAGUGCAUUCGAUACUGCGUGGCUUGAGUAUCGGAGAGGUUGGUGGAAUUCUCGGUGUAGAGGUGAAAUUCGUAGAUAUCGAGAGGAACACCGGUGGCGAAGGCGGCCAACUGGACGAAUACUGACGCUGAGACACGAAAGCGUGGGGAGCAAACAGG